CAUGCUGGCACCUGAUGAAGGCCGUGGAUGCCACAAUGACGAACUGGUUGUCUUUUGUUAUUUUACAGAACAUCCUUGUGAGCAAAUAACCGGGUGCCAAGGAUGUGACCAGAUUUUGCAGCCCAGGUCAAACGUUACAUGUUACGGACCCAUGCGUCCCACCGAGACGAUUCAUGACCUGCCAUGGAGCAAACCUAUGAUUUGGUGGAUUUGGGCAAUGAAGAGGUGCUCUCUUUCUGGAUGUACACAUGAUGGCUUCAUAGCUAUUAGAGGGACAUAGAGGCUCAGAGCAGCAGCCACCACAGCCCCUCAUCUGACUGCUGUGAGAAAUCUGUAAUCCACAGCAUCGCCUCCGGCAUCAAACGGAAUAUUUGUGUUCCUGAAUUGGAACAGUGGGAGAGUUUAUUUGCAUGUCUUCCUUCCUCGAUGCUGAUGCUGGCAUUUCAGAAAGAGGAACUCUUUUGGAGCAGCCUUGAGCUCUAUUGUACAGCCUGUUUUCAACAUAGUGGUCAUGUGUUUAUGACACCAUUUCUGUCCACGAUGGACGAGAAAUCAUACUUGUCAAACAGAUUUCGUAACUUUUAUUGACUUUGGAGGCUGACUUGCUUAGCAUCAACCAUAGACUAUUGUCAUAGAUUCCUUGUCUAUUUGUUUUUCUUAGAUGUCCAGAGCAACAAAAGUGUCUUUAAACAGGACAUCAGAAACACAACAAGAACAUUUAUAUUAUUACUAUUAUCAGAGCAAGUGGAAGUGAAAAAAAUAGAUCUUUUAGUGGACCAGGGGCCCUGAGAGCCACGAUGUCAGGUUUCAUUUAAUGAUGUGGUGCAAGAAGACUUCAGCAAAGAGAAAAAUCACCAUCUUACCCCAGAACUGUGGAACUGAGCCUGGCGUUGGCCUUGGAAUUCCAAUCCAGGGGCCCCUGGUGAGUGGUAAAACUAAAGUUUACUGCAGUUUGGGCCCUGAAAUGAAACUAAGAAAGUUAAGUCAUUAACUUGAUUCACAGGACUGUGCCAGUAGUUUUGUUGUUGAGAUGCACAAAACGUUACAAAAUAGAAUUUUAUUUUUGCAUUGGUAACAAAAUCAUUUGUGAGAAACCAUCUUUUUAUAGUGAACUGUUGAUCUCUGUGGCAUUCAUUAGUUCAUAUUCAGGAGGAAAACAGGCAACACAUUCUUUUAGAUGGAAAUUGCAAAAGUAAGCAUGUUAAAAUAAACAUCAAUAAAUUUCUCAUUUUUUAUGUAAAUAUUUUGUAAGAUGUUUUCAUAAUGUUCAGAGCAGCAGAGGUGAGUUUUCCGAACAAAAUUCAAUCUUUGACAAUGUUAUAUUGUGUAUGAGGUAUUUUUAUGUACUUUAUGUUCUCUCCAUUCAUCCAUCCAUCCAUCCAUCCAUCCAUCCAUCCAUGCUUCUGCUGAUAUAAACUCUCAAAUGUGUCCUUGUACCACCAGAAUUCAGGCUCUGUGUAAAAAUAUCUCCAUAAUAACUUUAUUUUGAUUGAAAAUAAAAAGGGCAAAAUAUCUGACUGUGCAGUGAUUUCACAUUAAAACAAUCAAAAGUCUGAUACAGAGUUGGUGAUACAGAGUUGACCUUACCUCUACAGUUUUGUCUUAAUCAGCACGAAGACAUGUGCUUUGUUGCAUGCACCCAAACUUCCUCCUGCCACUGUCUGUAGGGC
ensembl:lncRNA